AAAUUGAAGAGUUUGAUCAUGGCUCAGAUUGAACGCUGGCGGCAGGCCUAACACAUGCAAGUCGAACGGUAACAGGAAACAGCUUGCUGUUUCGCUGACGAGUGGCGAACGGGUGAGUAACGUCUGGGAAACUGCCUGAUGGAGGGGGAUAACUACUGGAAACGGUAGCUAAUACCGCAUAACGUCGCAAGACCAAAGAGGGG
rnacentral:rRNA from 1 species